UAGCAACAUUUCUUAGCCCAUUUUCUUAAAAUUUCAGGCAUCUUAUUUAGCAUUAAUUAAUUAACCUAAGUCUGGCCGGAUAACCGUAGUUAACGGAUUCUAAAGGAUGCCUAAUCCCUUCCCUUUAGGAUAAUAUAGAACCCUUACCUAGAAUCACACUGUUUAAACAGACUAUUAACGGAGGUUUAGCCAGCUUUACCUUAGUUAAUAAUUAGGUGCCCUAAUUCACCUUAAAAUCAAUUAGGUGGUGACUCCUUAAAAUAAAGCAAAAUAGGAAUCUCCAAUAUGUUGUACUCUAAAUUUAACCCGGUUAAAAUGGGGUAUAACAGUACUUUGAUUACAUGAUCUAUUACUACUAUGAUAAAAACGGAAAUAAGCAUGAAAAUGGAAAUAGACUAGUACUGCGAAUUAGCAAACUAUAAAAUUAAGCAAAUCAAUCAUCCUUAAUAACAGAUCCAUCACCAAUCAAGUGAUAUAUUUUUCCUUCAGGGUGCUCGAAAAAAUCGGCAACAUCCAAGUGAGUAAUAUAAACUUGAUCUUCAGAGAUAAAAUUAGCUUCAGGAUUUUUAUCUUUCUUCUUUAGUGAUGCUUGAUAAAGCUCAACCAAGUGUUUUGGCGUAUGACAGAUACGUGACUAGUGUCCUCUUCUACCGCAUCGGUAGCAUCUAUUUUCUGAGCCACUUGUUUCUGCCACUUCACACUCCUCAUCUUUCGUUUUCCCCUUUUGGUAGUAAAUUCUUCUUUGAUGAAUAAUUAGCCCCGGGGGAAGAAUUUUGAUCAUGACCACGACCACGACCAUGAUCACGACCGGGGCCAUGACCUUUUCCACAUCCAGAGUAGUGAGAGUGCACCUCAUUCACUUCAAGGAAUGGGGUAGAGCCAGUAGGUCGAUUCUCGUGAUUCUUCAUUAACAAAUCAUUAUUUUGUUCAGCCACGAGAAGAUGAGAAAUCAAUUCAGAAUACUUCUUGAAACCUUUCUCUCGAUAUUGCUGCUGCAGGAGCACAUUCGAGGCAUGAAAGGUGGAGAAUGUCUUUUCCAGCAUAUCAGAAUCACUAAUUGUUUCUCCACAUGGUUUCAAUUGAGAAGUAAUUCUGAACCUCGCAGAAUUGUACUCAAUAAUUGACUUAAAGUCUUGUAACCUUAGAUGAAUUCAAUUGUACUGUGCUUUUGGGAGGAUAACCAUCUUCAGGUGAUCAUACCUUUCUUUCAAGUUAUUUCAUAAAAUAAGUGGAUCCUUGACGGUGAGAUAUUCAAUUUUUAAAAUUGAAUCAAGAUGAUCAUGCAAGAAUAUCAUUGCUUUAGCACAAUCUUGAUUGGAUGCCUUAUUUUUAUCUUUUAUGGUGUCUCCAAGACCCAUUGCAUCUAAAUGGAUUUUAAUAUCUAGCACCCAUUUUAGGUAGUUCUUGCCCGAAACAUCAAGGGCAACAAACUCAAGUUUUGUAAGAUUAGCCAUAAUUAUAGAAGAAAAAAAAAACGUACCUUAGUCUUCAAAAUAACUUCUUGAGACAGUAGAACAUCGUGUUGAUAACGUGUUAUAAAACUACAUAAUUGGAAAUAAAUAAGAGAAGCAAACUAAAAUAACUUUGUAGAGAGAAGGGAGAUAUUGUAUUAUCACUUGUUGAUGGUAUUACAAAUGAGAAGACAAAGGUCUCUAUUUAUAGAAGAGUUUUGCCUCUCAGUCUUCAACAUACAACUUGUGGAACUUGUGCAAAUUGAUUUACAAUUUGCUACAACUAAGCUACAACUAUGAUACAACUUACUACAACUAAAAUACAACUAAGAUACAACUUGCAAGUUGUAUUUUAUCACUUAAUGUGCAAGGGGUAUAUUUUACACUUAAUAAUACAUUCAAAUAUCUACUUGUAAAAUAGUUCAUAACACUGUGCAAGAUCUUUUUAGUAUUUAGAGAAAAGACAUGUUUUGGCCCCUGAACUUGGCAGCAAAACUCACUUUAGCAACUAAACUUAAGUUGUAUUUAUUUACCCCCUUAACAACUUUCAAGUUAAUUAAAUACCCCCUUAACGGGUGACGUGACAAAAAAGUGUACUCAAUUUCUUAAAAGCGCGUGGGAUGAAAAAAAAAACACUAAAACUGAUCCCAACUGUACAGAUGUCAUCUUCUAAUUGGAUGAUAUAUUAAGAUUUUCUUAAUAUUUUAUUUUCCAUUUUAAAUUAACUUUUUUCUUUUCUUUCUUAUUCUUUUCCUUUUUCUUUUCUUUCUUAUUCUUUUCCCUUUCCCUUUCUUUUCUAUGCUCUCGCUUCUGCUCUCAAUCCGCAUCUUCUUUCUUCUUCUUUUAAUUUUUUUUCCUUUCUUUUUCUAGAUAAAUUGAAGAGAGCAGAUAUGCUUGAAACGAUAAAUUGAAGAGAGUAGAUAUUCUUUUUCUAGAUAUGCUUGUUAUUCAAACCCAAUUUAAACAAUACCCACUUAUCUAAAUCACUUAUUUCUCCACUUUUUGUUACAAUUUCAUCCUUUGAAGCUUCAUAUCUUCAGUUACAAAGCACACAAAGCAAAAAACUCACUUGAAUUGCUGUGAGGAAUAAGGAGAUGGGGGCAGCAGCAACAGCUGAAACGAUGGGGAAUAAGGAGAGGGAGAGGAGGGGUGAGUGGGGGCGGAGGGAUGGGGGCAGCAGCAACAGCACAAAAAUGAAGAAUUCUUGGAGAAUGAGAGAAUCGUGAAGACUGGAGACAUAAAAAAAGGAUACAAAGCAAUUUCUGCCGCCUAGGCUGCCAUUCUGGUUUGUCUCAUCAGGUACUACAGGAAAUUUUGCUACUGCUCCAACAUUAUUUAAGAAGGUGGCAAUAAGUGAUGCUUCCACUUUGGUUAUCAAAUGACUCUCAAAAUGUCAAUACUCAAUUGUCUCGAGAUGUAAGAGUAACGGUAAACCAUGCCCCUUGGCAUAGGCAGAGGGGGGAAUUUGGCUGCCAUGAGAUUUGAGUCAUAUAAUUGUAUUUUGUUCCUCCCAGUCUCUUUAUCUUUUAUUUUUAGUGGGACUGAUUGAUAUAUCAUAGAUUAGUCUAUGCUUCUCUUCUUUAAAAUGAGCCUGAUGUUCGAGUUUGUGUAUUUUCUAAAGAGCGUCAAUGCUGUAGAGGACUUUUCACCUCUUAAUUCAAUUAGGGACAAUUGUUUUCUUGGUCCCUUAUUGGAACAUUCUUA